AUUGAACGCUGGCGGCAGGCCUAACACAUGCAAGUCGAGCGGAUGAAGGGAGCUUGCUCCUGGAUUCAGCGGCGGACGGGUGAGUAAUGCCUAGGAAUCUGCCUGGUAGUGGGGGAUAACGUCCGGAAACGGGCGCUAAUACCGCAUACGUCCUGAGGGAGAAAGUGGGGGAUCUUCGGACCUCACGCUAUCAGAUGAGCCUAGGUCGGAUUAGCUAGUUGGUGGGGUAAAGGCCUACCAAGGCGAAGAUCCGUAACUGGUCUGAGAGGAUGAUCAGUCACACUGGAACUGAGACACGGUCCAGACUCCGACGGGAGGCAGCAGUGGGGAAUAUUGGACAAUGGGCGAAAGCCUGAUCCAGCCAUGCCGCGUGUGUGAAGAAGGUCUUCGGAUUGUAAAGCACUUUAAGUUGGGAGGAAGGGCAGUAAGUUAAUACCUUGCUGUUUUGACGUUACCAACAGAAUAAGCACCGGCUAACUUCGUG
rnacentral:rRNA from 1 species